rnacentral:rRNA from 1 species
GGAAUAUUGGGCAAUGGAUGCAAGUCUGACCCAGCCAUGCCGCGUGCCGGAUGAAGGCCCUCAGGGUUGUAAACGGCUUUUAUUCGGGAAGAAGAGCGGGGAUGCGUCCCUGUGUGACGGUACCGAAUGAAUAAGCACCGGCUAACUCCGUGCCAGCAGCCGCGGUAAUACGGAGGGUGCGAGCGUUGUCCGGAUUUAUUGGGUUUAAAGGGUGCGUAGGUGGCUGAUUAAGUCAGUGGUGAAAUACAGCCGCUCAACGGUUGAGGUGCCAUUGAUACUGAUUAGCUUGAAAUAAUUGGAGGCUGCCGGAAUGGAUGGUGUAGCGGUGAAAUGCAUAGAUAUCAUCCAGAACACCGAUUGCGAAGGCAGGUGGCUACGAUUUAUUUGACACUGAGGCACGAAAGCAUGGGGAGCAAACAGGAUUAGAUACCCGGG